rnacentral:rRNA from 1 species
CGUGGGGAGCAAACAGGAUUAGAUACCCUGGUAGUCCACGCCCUAAACGAUGUCAACUGGUUGUUGGGUGGGUUUCUACUCAGUAACGUAGCUAACGCCGUGAAGUUGACCGCCUGGGGAGUACGGCCGCAAGGUUGAAACUCAAGGAAUUGACGGGGACCCGCACAAGCGGUGGAUGAUGUGGUUUAAUUCGAUGCAACGCGAAAAACCUUACCUACCCUUGACAUGCCAGGAACCUUGCAGAGAUGCGAGGGUGCCCGAAAGGGAGCCUGGACACAGGUGCUGCAUGGCCGUCGUCAGCUCGUGUCGUGAGAUGUUGGGUUAAGUCCCGCAACGAGCGCAACCCUUGCCAUUAGUUGCUACG